rnacentral:misc_RNA from 1 species
UAUGAAGAACGUAGCGAAAUGCGAUAAGUAAUGUGAAUUGCAGAAUUCAGUGAAUCAUCGAAUCUUUGAACGCACAUUGCGCCCGCCAGUAUUCUGGCGGGCAUGCCUGUUCGAGCGUCAUUUCAACCAUCAAGCCCCAGGCUUGUGUUGGGGACCUGCGGCUGCCGCAGGCCCUGAAAACCAGUGGCGGGCUCGCUGUCACACCGGGCGUAGUAGAUUUUAUCUCGCUCAGGGCGUGCUGCGGGUUCCGGCCGUUAAAAAGCCUUUUUUACCCAAGGUUGACCUCGGAUCAGGUAGGAAGACCCGCUGAACUUAAGCAUAUCAAUAAGCGGAGGA